UUAACGGGUAGGGGGAAUAAGGGUUCUAUACCGGAGAGGGAGCAUGAGAAACGGCUACCACAUCCAAGGAAGGCAGCAGGCACGCAAAUUACCCACUCCCGGCACGGGGAGGUAGUGACGAUCAAUAACGAUGCGGGACUCUGACGAGGCUCCGUAAUCGGAAUGGGCGUACUUUAAAUCCUUCGACGAGGAUCAAGUGGAGGGCAAGUCUGGUGCCAGCAGCCGCGGUAAUUCCAGCUCCACUAGCGUAUAUUAAAGUUGCUGCAGUUAAAAAGCUCGUAGUCGGAUCUCGGGAUCGUGUUGGGGUGUCCGUCUCGUUCUCUGCGGUUCACGCCGUCGGGGGGCGUUGCGGCGCUCUGGCCCUGCCAGAGAGGUCCCGGGCUGAAGCCCGGGUUCCACCUCUCUUGUGCAGCCCGCUGUCGCGUCUGGGCGGGUGUCCUUGAUUGGGUGCCUGUUCUCUCAGACGUGACCCGUUUACCUUGAACAAAUCGGAGUGCUCAAAGCAGGCUCCACCACGCUCGAACGGUAGCGCAUGGAAUAAUGGAAGAGGACCCGCUUCCGCUUCUGUUGGUCUCACGGAGGCAGGUAAUGAUCAAGAGGGACGGACGGGGGCAGAGGUAUGUCCUGGCGAGAGGUGAAAUUCUUGGACCCUGGACAGACCCUCGACAGCGAAAGCAUCUGCCAAGGAUGUUUCCAUUGAUCAAGAACGAAAGUCGCGGGAUCGACAAGGAUUAGAUACCCUCCUAGUCGCGACCGUAAACGAUGCCAACCGGGAAUUCGGCGGUGUUACUUCCAUGACCCGCCGAGCGCCCGACCCGGGAAACCGAGAGUCUUUGGGUUCCGGGGGGAGUAUGGUUGCAAAGCUGAAACUUAAAGGAAUUGACGGAAGGGCACCACCAGGAGUGGAGCCUGCGGCUUAAUUUGACUCAACACGGGAAACCUCACCCGGCCCGGACACCGCGAGGAUUGACAGACUGAGAGCUCUUUCUCGAUUCGGUGGGUGGUGGUGCAUGGCCGUUCUUAGUUGGUGGAGCGAUCUGUCUGGUUAAUUCCGAUAACGAACGAGACCCCAUCCUGCUAACUAGCCCUCGGGUCCGGCUUCUGGCGGGCCCGACGGAAUGACUCGCUUCUUAGAGGGACUCGCGGCGCCUAGCCGCACGAAAGGGGGCGAUAACAGGUCUGUGAUGCCCUUAGAUGUUCGGGGCUGCACGCGCGCUACACUGAAGGCAUCAGCGUGCGCUUUGUCCGUUCCCUGCCUGGAAAGGCCGGGUAACCCGCUGAACCGCCUUCGUGCCUGGGAUAGGGAUUUGCAAUUAUCUCCCUUGAACGAGGAAUACCCAGUA
rnacentral:rRNA from 1 species